ACUAAAAAGUAACUUUAAAAAAGUGCAUUAGCAGAUGAAGAUCUACAUGUCCUCCACAGAAUUUUCCUCUUCAUCCAAAUAUUUCUUCCUUGUGUUCCUGUACAGCAUUUGUUUUAUUUAUUUUUUUUCAUCUUUUUAAGGUUAGGACUUUUUUUUUACUGUUUCAUCUUGGUGACCCCCCCCCCAAAAAAAAUAUUUGAGCUGGCUUUGUCAUUAGUUGUUCCAGUUUUUAAAAUGUACUCUUACAUUUAAGUGUAAACUCGUGCGGUUCAUAGCGCACCCACGUGAAGAAAAGUGCUUUUUAGCGAAGGUCAGCUUUGGACCCUUCUGUUUGGAGGAUGACUGUUAUUAAAUGAUAUUCAGAUCUUAGAUGGGGGGUAUUCGAUAUUCCAACUUAAAAUGAAAUAAAAAUAAAAAAUAAAAUAAAAAACACGUGGGGGCUAAUUCAAUAGUCCAACUUAAAAUGAAAUGAACAAUUCAAACAAAAACAUGUGGGGAAGGCAUAGGCUGGUAGGGCCCAAGUGAGCGUGCUUCACCUGAUUGCACAUGCUGAUGCAACCAUUGACCGACGGCUCGGCUGAGUAUGCCUACCAGUCUGACCUGCCAUCCGGUCAGACCUGCCCGCCUUCCCUGCUACUGAUCCCGUCAGCACUGAGGAUCAGUAUCACACGGAGCAACUCCCAGCGCUAAGAGAAGCUCAAGGGGGGUUUGGUCACGAUCGGCUUCGAGGCGUGUGUGGAGUAGUGGAGGAGGAGCUUCCGCGAAGAGCGUCUUGAGACCAUUGACUGUAAAAAUAAUGGACUUAGCAACCGGAAGUAAGGAAGUCUGAACUUCGAGAAUUUCCGGUUAUCUAACCUUUGCUCACUAUGCAACGUGAGUGGUGCAGCUGCACUGGUGCUAUCAGUAUGUGUUUGUAGAUUGUAGUUUAUGACUUUAUUAUUUUGUAUAAAGGUCGUAAAGAAUGACACGGAACAGUCAUCAAUCAAGAGUCAAGCAAGUUGGCUGAAUUGGAGGACGAUGAUGAAUCUGCGUGUAGCAAGAUGAAGCUGGCAGAAUCGCCACAUGAGCUGAUCUGUCUCAGAACUACAAGAUGAUAAAAAUGAGAACUUGAGCAGCAGUAUGGAUGAGUCCUGCAGAGAAGGCUCACACUGAGAGCAGGAUGAUAAAAAUGAGAACUUGAGCAGCAGUAUGGAUGAGUCCUGCAGAGAAGGCUCACACUGAGAGCAGAUAUCUGGACAAAUAUCUUCACCUGGGGAUGAAUGUGGCAGCAUUUUUCUUAAGUGGUUUCUUUGGAUCGCCAAGACGCCCUCAGGCCUGAAAUCUUCACUCUAUAAGCAUCAGACCGUCACUGAGCAGCCAGGGAGCUGUUGGUCUUGUUAACAAAACUUUGUAUUUAUUUAUGAUUUUGAGUUCUUAAUAAAGAUUUUUUUUUUUAAAUCUUU